CUGCCACCUUAGAUAUCAUAACACCCAUCAGAAUAAUAUAAUAAACCUUACAGCUUGAAUACUUACCUUCUCAUAACGCAGCGACUCUUGACUGUGAGCACCACUCAAGGAAAACUCAAUCUAUACUCGCAACCUGACAUAUACUACAAGAUCUACCAAGACAAAUAAAUGGAAAACUAUCUCACCCUCGAUCACAACCACAAUAAAUAACUUUGUAUACAUUUCAAAAACAUGGAUUUCCACCACAACAAAAUAUCCAUAACACCGAUUAGCCAUUCCAAACACUACAAAGUAUUACCGAGCAAUAUCUGAUAAAAAUUUGAAAACCCUAUUAUCAUUAAAACACGUAUAUACCUUGCUCGUUUCCUUUCAACCUUAUCGAGAAUAAUAGUGCACCCAAACAUACACUAAGAAAAUAAUAUACCUACCCACAAAACCACUCUUCACAGUAUACAACACAUUAUGGUCGCG
rnacentral:lncRNA from 1 species